GUGAUCUCUCGUCGACGGAAUCAAUCGGCGUCGGUGUACUCGUCGUCUCUCACCCUCUCCUCGACGGAAUCAAGCAGAAUCAAUCGAUGAUCUCUCGACGACUCCGCGUCUCUGUCUCUCACCUCGACGACAGCUCGUCUCUCUCCCUCUCCUCGAGGAGACCCCGUCUCUCUCUCUCUUCUCGACGAUACCUCGUCUCUCUCUGUCUCCUCGACGAUGCCGCAUCUCUAUCUCUCUCCGCCUCUCCUCCAAUCGAAAGGUAAUCAAUCAUUUGUUCUUGUGUUCUUCUUUCAUGCAUGUCUUUGAUUAGGCUUCUUCUUGUUCUGAUCGCAUGUUUGAUUUGUUUUGUCGGUUCAAUUCUGUCUCGCGGUGAUUCUCUACGACGGCGACGGAGCUCUCUGCGGUGGCUCUCCCCGGAUCAAAAGGUAAAGCUUCUGUUUCAUGUAUUUGAAUCAAUGAUGUCUAAGAUUGUGGUUCUUCUGUUACGAUAUUGAUUUGUUUGUUCAGUUCGAUACCGUCUGUAGAUUGAUUGGUUUGUUGUGUUCGAUUAAUUGUGAUUUGCUUGCUGGUAGUUUAUUAAUUUAGAUUUGGUUUCUGUUUGUUGAUAUAAUUUUUUGUUUCUGUGUUUGCCGUUUUGAGAUGGAGAGGAUCAAAUACGUUAUGCAUACACGGUGAAGGUUCAUCGAUCAAAGGACUCCAAUCACAAAACAAGGUUAGUGUAACAAUCUUGGCAAUAUGUUUGCGUCUGUGAUGAACUGAAUAGAGUUGCAUUGAGUUGAAUAGAGUUAGCGUCUGUGAUGAAUUGAAUCUUGGCAAUUAAUGAGUUGGUCAGUGCACGUUUAUGGUUGCGGUUGAUUAAGAUGAAUGGCUGCUGUAUGUUGUGUGACUAAUGGUAAGGUAGGAAACUAUGUUCUGUUAGGUGUGAUUAAACAAAUGUGAUUGUGAAGCUGGUUUAAGUGUUAUAAAUGAAUUAGAUAUAUGUCUACUCGAAUUGGUUGUGGGUGUGAUCAAUGCCUCUUAUCUCAGCUGAUCAAAUGUUCCUUUCUUUCUCUCUUCUUUAAAUUCAUUCGUUUCUUCUCUUCCUUUUACAACUCCUAAACUCGCCUAUCUUCUCUUCUUGCUUUCUUAUCAUAACUUCCAUCUCUCUUCUCAUCAACUUCUCAUCAACUUUUAGAUAUGGAUCUUCUUCAAAGUCAACAAGAAUCUUCCAUCGGUUUAGAAUCUUCUUCUAUUCCUCUCUUUGGCACACAAGCUUCAGAAGGUUCUAACUUCGAACAAGAAAAUCCUGCAGCGCGUACACCAAGAAGGGCGUGGACACCAACAGACGAUGUUGUUCUCAUAAGCUCGUGACUAAACACGAGUAAAGACCCAUUGGUCGGGAAUGAGCAACGCUUUGUUGCCUUCUGGAAACGCAUAGCAUCGUUCUUCUCGGCGAGUCCCAAGCUGGCUGGGUGUGAAAAAAGAGAGUCCUCGAAAUGUAAGCAGUGGUGGCACAAAAUUAACGAUUUAUGUGCAAGUUCUGUGGUGCUUACGAGGCUGCAACCAGAGAGAACAGUAGUGGACAAAACGAGAAUGAUGUUCUCAAAGUAGCCCAUGAAUUUUUUUACAACUUCUAUAAGAAAAAGUUCACGCUUGAACAUGCUUGGAAAGAUUUCCGCAAUGACCAUAAGUGGUGUGAGCUCUCCACAGGUAAAAAUGAAGGAAGCUCCAAAAAAAGAAAAUGUGAUGACGGUUUUGAUUCAGCAAGCUCUCAAGCUUUAGAUGAUGAAGGAACCAUCCGUCCCCUCGGUGUGAAGGCAGCAAAAGCGCGAGGUAAGAAGCCGAUGGGUGAUGUGAAGGAGCUCUCUGCCUUGCAAACUAUGUGGAGCAUCAAGCAACAUGAUUUGGCAAUGAAGGAAAAUGUCUCCAAGAUGAAGCUACUUGAGAGUCUUGUUGCAAAACAAGUGCCGCUAGAUGAUUAUGAGGAAGCUUUGAGAAAGAAGCUCAUAAAUGAGUUGAUGUCUACUUAGUUUAAGUGUGGGUCUCGGUCUUAGUCUCGGUUUAAGCUCUAAGUGUGGGUCUCGGUCUUAGUCUCAGUUUAAGAUCUUAAGAAGUUUAAAAUGUGUCUUGUUCUUGGUUAAUGUUUCUCUGGUUGUUGGAUUUUCAUGUUGUUAAAAUGCUUUCAUGUUCCUCUGCUUAAUGGAUUUUCAUGUUUUCAUGUUGGUUAAUGUUUCUCUGCUUUCAUGUUCCUCGGCUUAAUGGAUUUUCAUGUUUUCUCUGGUUGUUGAUACUUAUUACAUGUUCUAUGUCAUUGUCUCAGGUGAAGAAGACUGCUUGAGGAGAGUGAGAUCAUCACAUGAUAAUAAGGUAAUGGGACUACUCAUUACCAUCAGAGCCACAUACCAUGUUCCGUUUAAAACGAAUAAAAUACGUGGCAUUGGUAGUAAUGAGUGUUCCCGCUACCGUAUUCGGUUGAAGAUUCACGGGUGUUGUAUGUGACGUUGAAAGAGCUAGAGUGAGAUGUACUCGGCUGUGUCAGGUUCACGGGUGUUGUAUUAUUGUGCAUGGGUGUUGUUGUGUCACAUGUAAUAUAUUGUAAUUUCACGGGUAUGUAUUAUGCAUGGGUGUUGUAUGUAUUAUGAUCACGGGUCUUGUAUGUAUUAUUGAUCACGGGUGUCACUUGUAUUAUAAAGUCACCAAACUCAUCUCAUCUCAUCUCAUCUCAUAUCACUUAUUCUCUUCUCAUCUCAUCUCAUCCCAUAUCACAUCUUCACUUCUUCACCAACUCAUCUCUUGUUUUCACAAACUCAUUACAAACACAUCACAAACUCAUCUUCACUUCUCGUCUCAUCUCAUCUAUUCACAAACUCAUCACAAAAUCAUCUAUGGCAUCUUCAUCUCAUAACAAUUUAGAGGAAGUAGAUGAUGAAAGUUUUGAUCAAUGUUUUGAUCAAUAUUUUGAUCAAACGUUGGAGAAUCUUUGCAUUCAUCAUUUUGAUCAGGAGGAAGCAAGGAAGAGAAGGAAAAAAUGAGUUAUAUCAAAAGAAAUUGUGAAGCAGGCCAUGUACGUCUGUGGAAUGAUUAUUUCAGUGAAACUCCAACAUAUCCUAAAAAUCUUUUCCGUCGACGAUUUAGAAUGAACAAGCCAUUAUUCAUGCAUAUUGUUGAUCGACUCUUCAGUGAAGUUCAAUACUUUCGUCAAAGGGAAGAUGGUCUUGGGAGGCUUGGUGUCUCUUCACUCCAAAAAUGUACGGCGGCUAUUCAUGUCUUGGCGUAUGGUACUGCGGCUGAUACGAUCGACGAAUAUCUUCGGCUCGGUGAAACUACAACUCGGUUAUGUUUGGAAAAUUUUGUAGAAGGAAUAAUCAAUUUAUUCGGCGAUGAAUACCUAAGAAGACCAACACCGGCUGAUCUUCAAUGUCUACUUGAUAUUGGGGAGCAUCAUGGAUUUUUCGGGAUGAUAGGAAGCAUCGACUGUAUGCAUUGGGAGUGGAAGAAUUGUCCCACCGCUUGGAAAGGACAAUAUUCUCGUGGUUCAGGAAAACCAACGAUCAUUUUAGAGGCGGUUGCUUUAUAUGAUCUCUGAAUAUGGCACACGUUUUUUUGACCUCCAGGUACAUUAAACGAUAUUAAUGUUCUUGAUCGCUCACCUGUUUUUGGAUAUUAUAAGGGGUCAUGCCCCGGAAGUCACUUACUAUGUCAAUGGAAGAGAAUAUCAUUUGGCUUACUAUCUCACCGAUGGUAUUUACCCGAAAUGGGCAACUUUUAUCCAAUCUAUUCCAAUACCACAAGGGCCGAAAGCAGUUUUAUUUGCUCAGCAUCAAAAAGCUAUCCGAAAGGAUGUCGAUCGUGCUUUUGGAGUCUUGCAAGUUCGCUUCGCCAUUGUUAAAAAUCCGGUCCUUUUUUGGGAUAAAGUUAAAAUUGGAAAGAUAAUGCAAACAUGUAUCAUAUUCCAUAAUAUGAUAGUAGAAGACGAACGAGAUGGAUACACUCAAUUUGAUGUCUCGGAGUUCCAACAAGGAGAAAGAGGCGUCUCUACUUAACACGUGUCACGCUUUUAUGGCUCUUUCUCCCCCGAGACGAGGCCAAACCUCUCUUUUGGUCAUUCAUCGUUGACUCCGCUUCUCUCUCUCUCGUGAUCUUUCCUCUCCGCAACGAUGAUCUGGCGUCGAGUCGAGGGAAUCGAGCGGUGAUCUCUCGUCGACGGAAUCAAUCGGCGUCGGUGUACUCGUCGUCUCUCACCCUCUCCUCGACGGAAUCAAGCAGAAUCAAUCGAUGAUCUCUCGACGACUCCGCGUCUCUGUCUCUCACCUCGACGACAGCUCGUCUCUCUCCCUCUCCUCGAGGAGACCCCGUCUCUCUCUCUCUUCUCGACGAUACCUCGUCUCUCUCUGUCUCCUCGACGAUGCCGCAUCUCUAUCUCUCUCC
rnacentral:lncRNA from 1 species